CGGGGGGGGGGGCAAGCGUUGUUCGGAAUUACUGGGCGUAAAGGGCGCGUAGGCGGACGAGACAGUCUUUCGUGAAAUCCCACGGGCUCAACCGUGGAACUGCGGGAGAUACUACUCGUCUUGAGUUCGGGAGAGGAGUGUGGAAUUCCCAGUGUAGCGGUGAAAUGCGUAGAUAUUGGGAGGAACACCGGUGGCGAAGGCGGCACUCUGGACCGAUACUGACGCUGAGGCGCGAAAGCUAGGGGAGCAAACGGGAUUAGAUACCCCGGUAGUCCUAGCUGUAAACGAUGAGCACUUGGUGUAGCGGGUAUCGACCCCUGCUGUGCCGGAGUUAACGCAUUAAGUGCUCCGCCUGGGGAGUACGGUCGCAAGGCUG
rnacentral:rRNA from 1 species